UACGUAGGGUGCAAGCGUUAAUCGGAAUACUGGCGUAAAGCGUGCGCAGGCGGUUCUAUAAGACAGAUGUGAAAUCCCCGGGCUCAACCCGUGGACUGGACAUUUGUGACUGUAGAGCUGGAGUACGGUAGAGGGGGAUGGAAUUCCGCGUGUAGCAGUGAAAUGCGUAGAUAUGCGGAGGAACACCGAUGGCGAAGGCAAUCCCCUGGACCUGUACUGACGCUCAUGCACGAAAGCGUGGGGAGCAAACAGG
rnacentral:rRNA from 1 species